UACAGAGGGGGCGAGCGUUGUUCGGAAUUACUGGGCGUAAAGGGCGCGUAGGCGGCCUACUAAGUCGAACGUGAAAUCCCCGGGCUCAACCCGGGAACUGCGUCCGAUACUGGGAGGCUUGAAUCCGGGAGAGGGAUGUGGAAUUCCAGGUGUAGCGGUGAAAUGCGUAGAUAUCUGGAGGAACACCGGUGGCGAAGGCGGCAUCCUGGACCGGUAUUGACGCUGAGGCGCGAAAGCCAGGGGAGCAAACGGG
rnacentral:rRNA from 1 species